rnacentral:lncRNA from 1 species
UCAAAGACUGUGGAGGGUUGAUGACUUUUGGCCUCUUUUUGAUGUGGUUUAGCUUCAAAAAACCUGAAAGGGUAUGGUUCUGUUUACAUGUAAGGGUCUGGUUACGGACGUAUUGGACUCAUCCCUCGAACUGAGUUCUUACGCGUUUAUUUGAAUCCCGUUGUGUUUGGUGAUCUGGCUACUUCGAGACUCUAGUGUUCCAGGUUUGUGAGAUUUGCGGGUUUCAAGUCGUCUUGUCCGCCUACUAUUUGGUAUUUGUGGCUCGAAAGAGUAUUUAUGCUUGCUGCGUUGGUCAGGGAGCUGUCGGC